rnacentral:tRNA from 1 species
CGCAGGCGGGCGUUGGCUGCCCAGCCGCCUUUCAUACGGGCGGACGGCCCGGUUCGACACCGGGGCCUGUGAC